ensembl:snRNA U6 U6 spliceosomal RNA
GAUCAUUGUGUGGGACAUAUACUAAAAUUGGAACAAUACAGACAAGAUUAGCAUGGCCCCUGCACAAGGAUGACACAAAAAUUCGUGAAGUGUUCCCUACUUUU